rnacentral:rRNA from 1 species
GAUGAACGCUGGCGGCGUGCCUAAUACAUGCAAGUCGAGCGAACGGACGAGAAGCUUGCUUCUCUGAUGUUAGCGGCGGACGGGUGAGUAACACGUGGAUAACCUACCUAUAAGACUGGGAUAACUUCGGGAAACCGGAGCUAAUACCGGAUAAUAUUUUGAACCGCAUGGUUCAAAAGUGAAAGACGGUCUUGCUGUCACUUAUAGAUGGAUCCGCGCUGCAUUAGCUAGUUGGUAAGGUAACGGCUUACCAAGGCAACGAUGCAUAGCCGACCUGAGAGGGUGAUCGGCAACACUGGAACUGAGACACGGUCCAGACUCCUACAGGAGGCAGCAGUAGGGAAUCUUCCGCAAUGGGCGAAAGCCUGACGGAGCAACGCCGCGUGAGUGAUGAAGGUCUUCGGAUCGUAAAACUCUGUUAUUAGGGAAGAACAUAUGUGUAAGUAACUGUGCACAUCUUGACGGUACCUAAUCAGAAAGCCACGGCUAACUACGUG